AAAAAAAACUUCAGCACCUAAGGCCUUAGAGACCAAAAAAGGACCCCUCGUCUCAUCUUCUUCAACCUAGCAGCCAGAACCCUAGAGACCCUUCUUCUUUAUGUUCCUGAGACAAGAACACUAGAGAACCCUAGAGAAAUAAAUGGAGUCAUUUCCCCGAGCUCAUCCAUCAGCUGCUCGAACAAGCAGCGUCGAUCUCACAACCAACGACCCCGUUCUUUCUCUGAACUCACGAAAAGAACACACACAGCAGUCGCUGCAGCUUCUUCACUUCACACCACCAAACGUCAGCAACUCUCAACUGCCCAAACUUUAUCUUCUUUAAACCCAUCAGCUACACACACACACAUGCACAUAAGGGAAUAAAUGGACAUAGAGAGAGACUGAACAGAGUGAGGGAAUAGACAUGGCAGCAUUGACACUCGUUUGUCAAAAUCUGUCCAAAGCUCCGUCUGGUGGUUCCGUCGAGUUUAAUAUAGGGGAUUCAGUUGGACUAGAGAUUGAGCAGCUUGAAAUGUUCUCCUUGUUGAAUUGAGUGCUUUUGUUACAUAAACUAUUGUCCAGUUGGUUAGAAUCUGCUGAUAGAAGUUGAAGGUUUGCUGGGCAAUAAUUUGCGGGUAGUUUCCUGUUGCUGUAAAGGAUUUCGUGCUUGCUGCCCGUAGUCCUGUAUUGUUCAGCUUCUGCUCAACAGUGAAGAUUUCUGCAUUUCUUUUGUGGAUUGAUGUUACUCAGUUUUUCUGAACAGUUGAGGGAAUUUUGCACAAGUUUUAGCUUCAGUUAACACAAAUGCAUUGCUUCAGUUUAUAUUCCAACAAUACUCUACUGAAAUUCAAGUUGAGCAGUCUUUUGAAAGCAAAUUCUGCAUUGUCAGCUGCACAUUGUCUGCACUUUGUGGUUAUUCUGGUUGAAGUUGUUGUCUAUCUGUGUGCCACCUACUGAGUUUGAUCACUGCGAGAAGGGGGAUGCAUUAUAUGCAAUGGAGCUCGCACUUUGUUUAGAGAAGUUGGCGAAUCAAAGGCUUCUAAACUUGCACGUUGUAACCUCACGAAGCAACGAUGUGCAUUUGGAUGAUUUUCUUGAAAGUGAGUUCUUGGUUGAACAGGUGGACGCUAUCAAGAAGAUCUCAGAAUAUGUUGCUUAGCUGAAAAGAGUUGGCCAAGGACAUGGCGUCUGGCAGUUCGAUCAGAUGCUGCUGAAUGAGGGAGCUACCGCUUGAAGGAGAAGAUAGAAUUACAAUUUGCAUUUCUAUUUUGCCAUUGUGGAGGAUAUUUUCUUUAGUAUAUUUUGAUAUGAGAAAGAGCUAUGACAUUCUAGGGCCUCUUAGUAGUAGAAAGUAUGAGUGGUAGGAAAGUCGGUGUAAGACUAACUUAAUAGAUCUAGCCAACUGUGCUAUAGCCUACUAGUUGUCAAGUACUUUUGAAGUUUAAUUAGUUCUAUCUAGGGUAUCAUGCUUUCUCUUGUAGCUUGAACAUGAAGUGCACCCAGAAAGCACUCUAUCAAAUUUUAGUGAA